AUACGGAGGAUCCAAGCGUUAUCCGGAUUUAUUGGGUUUAAAGGGUGCGCAGGCGGCCUUAUAAGUCAGUGGUGAAAUCUCCCGGCUCAACCGGGAAACUGCCAUUGAUACUGUAAGGCUAGAAUACAGACGAGGUAGGCGGAAUGUAGCAUGUAGCGGUGAAAUGCUUAGAUAUGCUACAGAACACCGAUCGCGAAGGCAGCUUACCAGACUGUAAUUGACGCUAAGGCACAAAAGCGUGGGGAGCGAACUGGAUUAGAAACCCCAGUAGUCC
rnacentral:rRNA from 1 species